AUUAAACGCUGGCGGCAUGCCUUACACAUGCAAGUCGAACGGUAGCGCGGGGCAACCUGGCGACGAGUGGCGAACGGGUGAGUAAAGCAUCGGAACGUGCCCUGGAAUGGGGGAUAACGUAGCGAAAGUUACGCUAAUACCGCAUAUUCUGUGAGCAGGAAAGCAGGGGAUCGCAAGACCUUGCGUUCUGGGAGCGGCCGAUGUCGGAUUAGCUAGUUGGUGGGGUAAAAGCCUACCAAGGCGACGAUCCGUAGCGGGUCUGAGAGGAUGAUCCGCCACACUGGGACCGAGACACGGCCCAGACUCCUACGGAGGCAGCAGUGGGGAAUUUUGGACAAUGGGCGGAAGCCUGAUCCAGCCAUGCCGCGUGAGUGAAGAAGGCCUU
rnacentral:rRNA from 1 species